CGGAGGAAAAGAAACUAACAAGGAUUCCCCUAGUAACGGCGAGUGAACCGGGAAAAGCUCAAAUUUGAAAUCUGGCUGUCUUCGAUAGUCCGAGUUGUAAUCUAUAGAAGCGUUUUCCGUGCUGAACUGUGUCUAAGUCCCUUGGAACAGGGUAUCAAAGAGGGUGAUAAUCCCGUACUUGACACAACCAUCAGUGCUCUGUGAUACGUUCUCUACGAGUCGAGUUGUUUGGGAAUGCAGCUCAAAAUGGGUGGUAAAUUCCAUCUAAAGCUAAAUAUUGGCGAGAGACCGAUAGCGAACAAGUACCGUGAGGGAAAGAUGAAAAGCACUUUGGAAAGAGAGUUAAACAGUACGUGAAAUUGUUGAAAGGGAAACGAUUGAAGUCAGUCGUGUUCAUUGGAUUCAGCUAGUUCUUCUAGUCUACUUCCUUUGAACGGGUCAACAUCAGUUUUGUCCGGUGGAUAAAGGAUUUAGGAAUGUGACUCCCUCGGGAGUGUUAUAGCCUAGGUUCACAUACACUGGGUGAGACUGAGGACUGCAGCUCGCCUUUUGGCCGGGGUUCGCCCACGUUCGAGCUUAGGAUGUUGACAUAAUGGCUUUAAACGACCCGUCUUG
rnacentral:rRNA from 1 species